UCUUAUGCUCCAAUAUCAAGGUCAGUAUUCAACUCACAAAAUGAAGAGGUCACCAGCAGCAUAUCAAAGGUCUCUAGAGCCUCACCAGUACACCCUCAGUCCUUACAUUGUGUAACAAAAUUCAUUAUACAAAUAGACUAACAACAUUUGUUAACAUAUUUUUUCUUCUUUAGAUAAAAAAGUAGGAAUAGUAGGAGUUUUUUCAAAAAAAGUAGGAAAAAGUAGGAACAGACCUAAAAAGUAGGAAAAGUAGGAAAAAGUAGGACUACUUGAAAGCCUGUAUAUACAUUUAAUCAUAUUGGUCAUUUUACUACUAAUCCUUGUUUGAAUCAAUUUAUGCCAUGAAAGGCUCUUUGGUAGUCCACAAACAAACACCAUAAAUAGACCAGUUUCCCAAUACGUUAUGCGUACUAUUUAUAGAUUUCACGUGACCCGAAAUAUCCAAAACGCGGCUCGAUGUGAUAGUUUCCUGUUUGACAUUAUAAACAAUGGCGAGUGUUACUGAUAAAUAUUUGAGCUUUUCUACACACGAUUUACAGGAAUUAAACGUAAAACAACUGAAGCAAUUACUUUAGACUGUUAAUGAAAGUACUUUGGAAAGAAAGCGUCUUUAGUUUCACGCUUAUAUAUUCAUAUUUGCCGAGUAAACAGUAGUGGAACUGACGACCCAAAACUCGCGGAAGUAAACAAAGGACGAAUUGACAUUAAUAUUCCGAGGGAAAGUACGUUUAGUGAUUUGACAGUUUUAGCAGGAGAUGCUGUUUGGACGUCCGACUUGAGAAACCUCCCCGAGGUUAACUUUCACCAGUUGUAUGAUUACUUGGUUGUGAAAACAUCAAAGUGUGUACAAACAACAAGAGCUGUCAGUGGACAGCGCGCUCGACUAUUCUCACUGCCUGAUAGUAUAAUAUAAGCAAUGUGUAAAACUUUAACAUUACAAUAAGCAUAUUCUAAGUCAAAAAGGGGCCAUAACUCAGUCAAAAUGCUUGAUAGCGUUGCUUCCUCCUUUUUACAGACUGGGGUCAUGAUGGUAAACAAUUAUGCAAAAUAUGAAAGCAAUACCUCAAUUGACCUUGAAAAUAUUUGGGGCGGUACGCAAACUUUAACAUUUAUUCAAAGUCGAAAAGGGGCCAUAAUUCAGUCAAAAUGCUUGAUAGAGUUGCUUCCUCCUUUUUACAGACUGGGGUCAUGAUGGUAAACAAGUAUGCAAAAUAUGAAAGCAAUAUCUCAAUUGACUUUGAAAAUAUUUGGGGCGGUACGCAAACUUUAACAUUUAUUCAAAGUCGAAAAGGGGCCAUAAUUCAGUCAAAAUGCUUGAUAGAGUUGCUUCCUCCUUUUUACAGACUGGGGUCAUGAUGGUAAACAAUUAUGCAAAAUAUGAAUACUUAAUAGAGUUGCCUCCUCCUUUUUACAGACUGGGGUCAUGAUGGUAAACAAGUAUGCAAAAUAUGAAAGCAAUAUCUCAAUUGACUUUGAAAAUAUUUGGGGCGGUACGCAAACUUUAACAUUUAUUCAAAGUCGAAAAGGGGCCAUAAUUCAGUCAAAAUGCUUGAUAGAGUUGCUUCCUCCUUUUUACAGACUGGGGUCAUGAUGGUAAACAAGUAUGCAAAAUAUGAAAGCAAUAUCUCAAUGGACAUUGAAAAUAUUUGGGGUGGUACGCAAACUUUAACAUUUGUGUGACGCUCACGCCGAUGCCAGGGCGAGUAGGAUAGCUCCCCUAUUCUUUGAAUAGUCGAGCUAAAAAUGUAACUUUAUAUAGUAAAGGCAAAAGUGAUUGCUUCAAUGAAGAAGGUAAAAUACAAUGUUGUUGUUGUAUACAGUGAACUUGCAGAUGUGCUUCAUGCAGCAUGUGAAUGUCCUGCUGGACUGGGUCCAACUGGGGAGGGCAAGUGCAACCAUAUAGGUGGGCUUCUGUUUUGUGUGGAAGAUUUCAGUAGAAAGCGUUUACAGAAAGCCCCUGAAGCUGUAACAUGCAUCAGGAAGCUGGAAUGUGCCCAGAGACCUGAAAGUUAGUUCCACUGAACUUCCAGAUAUGAAAAUAAAAAAGCUUGUUCACGGAAAGAGGCAGGACACAAAACCAUCCGUAACCUUGUAUGAUCCACGUGCACCGGUUGACCGUUUUGUAGAUGUUCCUGCACUAAGGACUCUAUAUGAUGAUUUAGAAGACUGUAUGCCAGCAUCUGGCUUCUUUCUCUUUCAUGAUGACCCAGAAGAUAUACAACAUGAGGAGAUAACCCUUGAAGAGAGCAUACUUGUUAGUGAAAAUGUUGAGGUUACUGCAACAUUAAAUUAUUGUGAAAGUAACAGUGCUAAAAAAGACAGGAUUGAACAAAAUUUGGUAAAAAUGUUUUCAGUGGAGGGUAUUAAUGUCCCAGAGAACACUGAUAUUGACAGUGAGGAAACGGAAUCAGCCGUUUAUGAUUAUGUGAAAAAACUGAAUGCUGAUAACUCUGUAAUAGAUGCCAUUGAAACCAGGACAAAAGACCAGUUACAAUGUAAACUUUGGAAUGACCUCCAUAAGACAAUGCUAACUUCAUCAAACUUUGGUAAAGUAAUUAAAUGUAAAAACAAGA